rnacentral:rRNA from 1 species
UACGUAUGGAGCAAGCGUUAUCCGGAAUUACUGGGUGUAAAGGGAGCGCAGGCGGGAAGCCAAGUCAGCUGUGAAAACUACGGGCUUAACUUGUAGACUGCAGUUGAAACUGGUUUUCUUGAGUGAAGUAGAGGUUGGCGGAAUUCCGAGUGUAGCGGUGAGAUGCGUAGAUAUUCGGAGGAACACCGGUGGCGAAGGCGGCCAACUGGGCUUUAACUGACGCUGAGGCUCGAAAGUGCGGGGAGCAAACAGG